AGCAGUCGCCACGGGAAUACGGAGGGUGCAAGCGUUAUCCGGAUUUAUUGGGUUUAAAGGGUCCGUAGGCGGAUCUGUAAGUCAGUGGUGAAAUCUCACAGCUUAACUGUGAAACUGCCAUUGAUACUGCAGGUCUUGAGUAAAUUUGAAGUGGCUGGAAUAAGUAGUGUAGCGGUGAAAUGCAUAGAUAUUACUUAGAACACCAAUUGCGAAGGCAGGUCACUAAGAUUUAACUGACGCUGAGGUACGAAAGCAUGGGGAGCAAACAGGAUUAGAUACCCCCGUAGUCCCUGUCUCUUAUAC
rnacentral:rRNA from 1 species